AGUUGUUUGCCAUUCUUCCUUUUCAGUAAAGGACUUCACACAUUUUCACACAGUAUUGGUACUGUAACCGUGACAACAUCUCUUCAUGUGUGUAACACAGAUGGCUGCAACAGGGAAGACAUACCUUACCCUGGUAUUCAGAGGAAAAAUGGACGGCAAUGUAUCACCUGUGAUGAUCCACAUUCUACUGUGUGUACCCAGACAGUACAGUGUGUGGGAGUGGAGGACCGCUGCUUUAAUAUGACUGUGGAAGAUAAACAUAAUGAGAUGCCAACAUCUUAUAGCCUUGGAUGUAUCUCUUCAAACUUAUGUGAAGAUUCUCGCCGCUGGCUGUUCUUCCUGAUUGGUA